rnacentral:scRNA from 1 species
GCCCGGUCUGGCGGGCCGACCAGAUCAUCACC